CGGACGGGUGAGUAACGCGUGAAUUACAUGCCCUUCAGUGGGGAAUAGCCCAGGGAAACUUGGAUUAAUACCCCAUGGCAUCGCAAGAUUAAAGGUGGCCGCAAGGCUGUCGCUGAAGGAUUGGUUCGCGCCCUAUCAGCUUGUUGGUGAGGUAACGGCUCACCAAGGCUACGACGGGUACCUGGUCUGAGAGGACGAUCAGGCACACUGGAACUGAGACACGGUCCAGACACCUACGGGUGGCAGCAGUCGAGAAUAAUUCACAAUGGGGGAAACCCUGAUGGUGCAACGCCGCGUGGAGGAUGACGGUCCUCGGAUUGUAAACUCCUGUCAUCUGGGAGUAAGACCUGGCUGUGAAUAGCAGACAGGGUUGAUAGUACCAGAAGAGGAAGGGACGGCUAACUUCGUGCCAGCAGCCGCGGUAAUACGAAGGUCCCAAGCGUUGUUCGGAAUCACUGGGCGUAAAGGGAGCGUAGGCUGCAUGGUAAGUCAGAUGUGAAAUCCCGGGGCUCAACCCCGGAACUGCAUCCGAUACUGCCAUGCUUGAGGAUUGGAGAGGUAGCUGGAAUUCUCGGUGUAGCAGUGAAAUGCGUGGAGAUCGAGAGGAACACUCGUGGCGAAAGCGAGCUACUGGACAAUAUCUGACGCUGAGGCUCGAAGGCCAGGGUAGCGAAAGGGAUUAGAUACCCCGGUAGUCNAGAGGGG
rnacentral:rRNA from 1 species